UACGAAGGGGGCUAGCGUUGUUCGGAAUUACUGGGCGUAAAGCGUAUGUAGGCGGAUUGUUAAGUCAGGGGUGAAAUCCCGAGGCUCAACCUCGGAACUGCCUUUGAUACUGGCUGUCUUGAGUCCGGGAGAGGUGAGUGGAACUCCUAGUGUAGAGGUGAAAUUCGUAGAUAUUAGGAAGAACACCAGUGGCGAAGGCGGCUCACUGGCCCGGAACUGACGCUGAUGUACGAAAGCGUGGGGAGCAAACAGG
rnacentral:rRNA from 1 species